rnacentral:rRNA from 1 species
GGCGAACGGGUGAGUAACACGUGGGUGAUCUGCCUUGCACUCUGGGAUAAGCUUGGGAAACUGGGUCUAAUACCGGAUAGGAGCCGUCUUUAGUGUGGUGGUUGGAAAGUUUUUUCGGUGCAAGAUGAGCUCGCGGCCUAUCAGCUUGUUGGUGGGGUAAUGGCCUACCAAGGCGUCGACGGGUAGCCGGCCUGAGAGGGUGUACGGCCACAUUGGGACUGAGAUACGGCCCAG